rnacentral:lncRNA from 1 species
UCUCAAGUGUUUUUAAGUAGUUCGAGUUCCCCUUUUCUAAAACUGUUCCAUUCUUAGAUAUACUUCAGGGUUCUACAAUAUAUGCUUUUACACCUCUUGUAUUAUUUUUUAGUUGAAUAACUAAUUAAAAAGAUAAACCACACAUAAUCUAGGAUGACAUCUUAGACUGUUAAGUAUCUGUUUGUCUGAAGGGUAUUUCAUCCUUUCCCAUUUCCUUACUUUCUAUGGGGUGUAACAGUAUCUGUUUGUUUGAAGGGUAUUUCAUGGUUUUCCAUUUCUUUACUGUCAAGAUCCACCCUGAAUUUUACCCUGAAACCCGAGGUAAGUCUUGCGGAGUCCACAUCCAAGGAAAAUUUAUUGAAAAUUCGGCAUAAUCUACCUUGAAAAUAGACAACCCUUACCUGAAAAAUCCUAGAUAACACUUCUAUUAUCAAUCAUCCAUCCUCAACUCCUGGAGCCUUCCUGCUCCCCCAGGUUCAUCACAUAUUCCAAUAUAACAAUUUCUCAUCUAAAAUAAUUCAACAACCAACAACAGACAAAUAAUAAUUUACUGCUGGACUUUCAGAGCAUAUCUAAAGAUGAACGAAAAACAAUGAAUAUAAAAUGAGCAUAAGUAGCCUCUGACUAUGCCUCGACUCUAUGUACGCUCGACCUCAAUUGAACUUAGCCUGCAAACUGGGCAUUUAAAACCAAAGGGCCUAGGGGAAAGUAAUUUAAAAACGUUAGAGUGAGUGGACAAAAAUAAAUUAAACAAUUUAACAAAAUACGUAAUUUAAAUACUUUCUCACGUUCAGUUUUGAAAAACUUAGCUGCACACAACUUUCCUAAAUCAUAUAACUUAAAUUCCAGAAACCCAAUAAAAUGGACAAAUCAGCCCUGCUGGUUAAUUAAAUAAAGAAAUCUCGUGAGAAGAGAUAAACCAGCCCUGCUGGUUAAUCGAAUACAUAACUAAGAAGAAUAAAAUAAGGGGAAGAGUUAUCACCAUGUAAAAGGAGCCUCCCAGGCUAUAAUAGCGUCUCACGCUAAGCACUCAACUCACAUAUGAUGAGGACUGCUAAUAAAGCUAGCUAGCAAUAAAUAAUAAUAUCCGAUCGGUGCCUCCCAGGCUAUAAUAGCGUCCCACACUAAGCGCUCUACUCACCUAUGGUGAGGACCGCUAAUAAAGCUAGCUAGUAAUGAAAUAUAAACGACUCUAUAUUAUGGUGACUAAAAACAAACGAAAUCACUUAAAUCCAUUAAACUUCCCUAAGAUCAUAUGAAUGGUACGGUUCCCAAUCGUACUUGAAAAUCAUCAUAAGAAAUUAUAUUAAAACUCAAUGACGUGUCUCACACGUCAAAAUAUUCUCAAAUCCAUAAUAUAAACGAGUUUAAUUAACAAGUAUAAAUUGUAAAUAAUUCCUCACUCCGAAAAUACUCGCUAAAAAUAUUUUCAAUGCCAAGAUUGAAAAUCCACAAAUAAACGAGAUAGUUAUAAAAAGAGAAUUACCGAAAUCUCAUUUUCGGAAAUCUUUUAUAAAUCUCAAAGUCCACCAUUUAAACAAUCAUUAUAAUGAAAUCCGGAAUUUUAUAAAGAAUAUCCAAACUCAAAUAUCAAAAUAAUAAUCCGAGCUCAAAUCCACAAAUCAUGACCAACACUUAGUCAAUGCAUCAAACUCAAAUAAUUUUCAAGAUCAUCUCAUAAGCCGAAAUUAUAAUAUAAGCUCAGAAAAUAAAAUAAUAAAUUAUAAAAUCUUGCAUGCAUAUUUCUUUAAAACCAAAAUAUCCACUCACAAAUUUAGGCAUAAGCCCGCCGAUAUCAGCAUCACCACUCAAGUGAGGUUCCCUUCGAAUCCUGGCACAAUAAAUAUGCUUAGGACCAAACUUCAAUUCCGGAAAAUAAAUACUUAAAUAUAAACACCCAAAUCUUCUCCGCUUAAUCCACUACCUUAACUAGGAUUUAGCUCAUCGGAUUCAUGCCAAACUCCAACCACAACCUCACUUCAUUUAUUUCAACCUUCUAAACAGAAAUAAGGGAAAUCCAACGGUAGGAUCUUUCCAAGAAACUCACCGAUAAACCCAACCUCGAAUAAUCCCAAACAUAUUCUAGACUUCAUCAUAAUUCUCAAACUUCACACCAUUGGACUCCUCUCGUCAUAACCAAAUUAAAUAACACAAAAAAACUACCCAAAAGAGGCGGCAGCGGCGGCGGCCGGUAGCCCCUACUCCGGCCACCUCCGAUGAUCACCAAAUUUUAGCACAAUCCUCCUCUCAACAUUCUAAACAACUUUCAUAAUUAGCACAAAGUCCAAUUUCAAGCUUGAACAUGCCAAUCGAAUCAAAACACCAAAAAUCUCAAAUUCAAACCCUAGAGUUUUAAAACUUCAAAUCUCCUUACCUAGAUCAAGGUAGGUUGAAUCCUUUUAGGGGUUUGCUGCUAGAAGGGAGAGCUUCCAAAUGAUACCAACAGCUCCGACUAUAGUGGCCGGAAAAGGAAGUUUAUGGCGAAACUCCACCACGCACAACCGUGGCUUUCGGGACUGAUUUCUCCUUCAUGGCGACGCAACACGAUCAGCCACCUAUCUAGACUUGAAGAGGAUGUUCCACGCUUCGAUUUGAUACCUAGCUCGCCCCCUAACUCGGCCGGACGGCGGCAGACGGAGGCGAUAAAGUUCCGGCAGAAAUUUUGGAAUUUCUGGGCAAAUUCUAGAAUUAUCCAGAAAUGGGGGUCUGACUUGCUAUUUAUAGAACUUGAGUUUCUUACAAAUUACCAAUCUGCCCCUGAUUUUAAACCCUUGUAACUUUUUCGUACAAACUCUGAUUAAAACGUGCCACAUAUCCACGAACUCGAUUUAACGUCCUCUACGACUUUCAUGAAGAAAGUUUUCUCAAAUUCCAAAUGGAAGAAAAAGUCAACUUUUGGAGUCUUAAAUAGUAAAAGGUUUACUUAAAAUAGUAAAAGGUCAAAGUAACCCAAAAGUAAAUAACUGCAAAUUUACUUAAGAACCGGGAUGUGACAUUUACACUCCAUGGGGGUGUGGGAGAACGGUCAGACGAUAAUUCCUUGGGUUUGUGUUGUGACGUAUAAGGUUUGUGUUGUGACGUAUAAGGUUUGUGUUGUGACGUAUGAUAUGCUCAUAUUAUCCUAUAUUUCUAAGCCCUUUAAUCUUGAUAUUUGUGUUUAGUUCUCUUCUUUAUGACUUAUUUAUGUUAAUUUAGUGUUUUUGUAGGUUUGUGUCGUAAAGAGAAAAAAAUGAGCUAAAACGAGCAAAUAAGGAUUGAAAGGCGACUACAAUCCUAAGUGCUAGAAUCUGCCUAUGCAGAACAGCCAACUUUGCCGAAUUACAGGGAAUUACUCGGAUUGAAUCAGACUAUGAGCCUUAUAUCAUUGGAAAGCUAUGGAAGCCUACUUUCUGUAGAAUUUUACGGAUCUCGAUUUCGAUACUUAUGGACUGAGUUAUGAUCAUUUGAAUGAAGAUAGGUCAGAUCAGAAAAUCUGC